GUCACAAUAGCCAUGUGGCACGAUUAUCCAAGGGUGAUCCAGCUCAUUGUUGAGGACCAGGCCAAGGGGCCACCCCCUUAACACCUGGGUGCAGCAGAUAGAUGGGUGGGACUGGACUGCGUGUCUACCUAGGGGGAUUUCCAACCAGGAACCCGAUUUGUUUUGUUGUGUGGUGGGCACAGUAACGCGCUAUAUCAGUGCAACCUGACCUGACUUGGCCUCUGCGGACCUUCAUGGUCAAAAUUAUGGUGAGACUCCCAUUUCGGGACAAGGGCUCAAAACCAUCUUGUGUUCCCAAGAGCCCAAUGAAGACCACCUGCCUGACAUGAACCCUAAGGUGAAGUGUGGUGGUGGCAGCAUCAAGCUAUGGGGAUGCAGUGACAGGGAGACUGGUCAGAAUUUCAGGGUGAGGGUGAAGACAGCCAAAUUCAGGGCAGUCCUUGAGGAAGACCUGCUGCAGAGAGCACUCCACCUCAGACUAGGGUGACAGUUCAUCUAUUAACAUGACAAUGACCCAAAACAUACAGCCAGGACAACAUUGGAGUGACUUCAGGACAGGUCUCUCACUGUCCUUGAGUGGCCCAGACUUUGAAGAGGUAUGGGGGGGACCACAAAAUGGCAGCUUACAGAUGCUUACCUUACAAUCUGGUCAAAUGGAGCUUGAGAGGGUCUGCCUGGGAGAAUGAAUGGCAUAAAAUGCCCAGUUCAGGUGUGCAAAGCUUGCAGAGACAUACCCAGCAGAUCUGAACCUGACUUUUUUGCAAAUUGCUGAAUACUUCUAGGAAGGAGUUAUUUCAGUUUCUGAUUUCUCCUAAAUUUCCAAACUUUGCUGUAAACGGCUUCUCUCUUUGUCACUGUGGGUUACUGAGUAUCGACCGAUGAGCAGAAGUAGCAAAUUUCUCCAUUUUAAUUGAAAUCUGCAACACAAUAAAAUGCGCUGACUUUGAAUGGGGUCUCGGUACUUUCUGAGUCCACUGUAAAAAGUGGCAGCUUGUUAUCCUGCCAGUAAAGAAGAACGGAUGAUGAUGACUUGGAUGUGCCACCAUAAGAGUCCAACACGUGGUGACCGAGGCUUUGACCGCCUUUGGAAAAGUAGCAUGUCGGACUCCCAUGUGAAACGAUUUUUAGGGGUGACAUUGCAAAACAACCCUCCGAAGUUUCACUCGUCUCUGCCACUAAUUAAGAUGGCAGCUGGAAUCGAGACACAAAGUCCAAAAAACGUCAUCAAAGUUCACAGCUCUGGCUGACCAGCAUUGGUCCAAAAUCACGCGAGAGUCGAGUUGCAAUCCAACAUUAGGGUAACAUGAGCUGUGUCUCGCCAUCUUAAUUAGACGUUCGUGACGUCACACGUGCCACAACAAGCCAUACACCGCUAAAGAAUCCAAAAUGGCAGAAGACGUGAACCAUAAACCUGAAGCUCCUUUAAUACUCAAAGAAAACGAUGAAACAGGCAUGUGAGUUUGUGACAGCAGUGCUGCGCCGUGGGCUGAGACAAAGGGGCCGGACUGAAGGACCGUCUCUUGCUGAAGGGUGGACGUGACUCUUGGGGGGCUCACUUUGGUGCUCUUUCACUGAUUGUUGUUCUCCAGGAAGUCAGAAGACGGUGUGGUGGGACGCCAGCCGUGCUCUCUCUGCUGCAGCUUUGUGCUGCUAAACCACAGAGGCACUGGUUUCCUUCCAUGGCAUGGCUACGCCACAAGCCUAUUUCAUCGGAAAGACAGAGCGGAGUGAAAACACGAGGGUCCAGCAGGCCGAUGGGAGGGCUUUCUUAGGCUUUCACUGUAAUAAACAUUUACUGGUUAAUCAA